rnacentral:rRNA from 1 species
GAUGAACGCUAGCUACAGGCUUAACACAUGCAAGUCGAGGGGCAGCGUGGAGCAGCAAUGCUCUGACGGCGACCGGCGGAAGGGUGCGUAACACGUGAGCGACUUGCCCGUCACAGGGGGAUAACCGGCGGAAACGGCGACUAAUACCCCAUACGAUGUGAUGCUGCAUGGCAUUGCAUUGAAAGAUUCAUCGGUGGCGGAUAGGCUCGCGGGACAUUAGCUAGACGGCGGGGCAACGGCCCACCGUGGCGACGAUGUCUAGGGGGUUCUGAGAGGAAGGCCCCCCACACUGGGACUGAGACACGGCCCAGACUCCUACGGGAGGCAGCAGUGAGGAAUAUUGGGUCAAUGGGCGGAAGCCUGAACCAGCCAUGCCGCGUGAAGGCUAAGGCCCUACGGGUCGUAAACUUCUUUAGACGCAGAGCAAUAAGGUCCACGCGUGGACCGAUGAGAGUAUGCGUAGAAUAAGCAU